rnacentral:tRNA from 1 species
AUGUGGCUUAGUGGUAGGGCACAUAAUUAACAUUCAUGAGACCCUGGAUUCAAUUCCUAGCAU